CUACGGGGGGCACCAGUGGGGAAUAUUGCACAAUGGGCGCAAGCCUGAUGCAGCCAUGCCGCGUGUAUGAAGAAGGCCUUCGGGUUGUAAAGUACUUUCAGCGGGGAGGAAGGGAGUAAAGUUAAUACCUUUGCUCAUUGACGUUACCCGCAGAAGAAGCACCGGCUAACUCCGUGCCAGCAGCCGCGGUAAUACGGAGGGUGCAAGCGUUAAUCGGAAUUACUGGGCGUAAAGCGCACGCAGGCGGUUUGUUAAGUCAGAUGUGAAAUCCCCGGGCUCAACCCGGGAACUGCAUCUGAUACUGGCAAGCUUGAGUCUCGUAGAGGGGGGUAGAAUUCCAGGUGUAGCGGUGAAAUGCGUAGAGAUCUGGAGGAAUACCGGUGGCGAAGGCGGCCCCCUGGACGAAGACUGACGCUCAGGUGCGAAAGCGUGGGGAGCAAACAGGAUUAGAUACCCUUGUAGUC
rnacentral:rRNA from 1 species